AUACGGAGGGUGCAAGCGUUAAUCGGAAUUACUGGGCGUAAAGCGCUCGUAGGCGGCUUGUUAAGUCGGAUGUGAAAGCCCCGGGCUCAACCUGGGAACUGCAUUCGAUACUGGCAAGCUAGAGUAUAGUAGAGGCAAGUGGAAUUCCGGGUGUAGCGGUGAAAUGCGUAGAUAUCCGGAGGAACAUCAGUGGCGAAGGCGACUUGCUGGACUAAUACUGACGCUGAGGAGCGAAAGCGUGGGGAGCAAACGGGAUUAGAAACCCCGGUAGUCC
rnacentral:rRNA from 1 species